ACGAGAUUCUGGUCGAUCGCAAUUUUCAGGAGCGCGGCGAUGUUCUCGCUUUCGUCGCUGCUUUGC
rnacentral:sRNA from 1 species